rnacentral:rRNA from 1 species
AACGAACGCUGGCGGCAUGCCUAACACAUGCAAGUCGAGCGAGGCCUUCGGGUCUCGUGUCGCCCGCGUGCGUAAGGGGAGGGCACCUGCGCUUAAGUUGGGAAUAACUCCCAGACUGGGGUGAUAAAACCGAAUACUGUCUGCGGACCAAUGAUUUAUCGCCGUGGGAUGGGCCCGCGUUGGCUUGGCCAGUUGGUAGGGUAACAGCCUACCAAGGCGGCGAUGCAUAGAUGGUCGGAGAGGAUGACCAGCCACACCGGGACUGAGACACGGGGCAGACACCUACGGGAGGUAGCAGUGGGUAAUAGUGGACAUGGGGGGGAAGCGUGGUCCAGCGGAGGCGGGUGAGCGAUGAAGGAAUUAGUGUUCUAAAGACGUUUGCCCCGGGAUGAUAAUGACAGUAACGGGAGAAUAAGCUCCGGCUAACUCCGUG